rnacentral:rRNA from 1 species
UACGGAGGAUGCAAGCGUUAUCCGGAAUGAUUGGGCGUAAAGCGUCCGCAGGUGGCUGUGUAAGUCUGCUGUCAAAGAGCGAAGCUCAACUUCGUAAAGGCAGUGGAAACUACACGGCUAGAGUGCGUUCGGGGCAGAGGGAAUUCCUGGUGUAGCAGUGAAAUGCGUAGAUAUCGUGAGGAAGACCAGUUGCGAAGGCGGAUCUCUGGGCAGUUCCUGACACUGAGGCACGAAGGCCAGGGGAGCAAACGGG